AAGUAACAGUGCCAAAGAUAAUCACUAUCUCGGACGAAGAGGUGAAAGUGUCAGUGUGUGGCCUAUACACGUAUGGAAAGCCAGUCCCAGGACAUGUGACCAUGAGCAUGUGCAGAAAGUAUUAUAAUCCUUCUAACUGUUUUGGUGGAGAGUCACAAGCUCUCUGUGAGAAAUUAAGUCA